rnacentral:rRNA from 1 species
GGUGGAUGCCUUGACUGUAAGAGGCGAUGAAGGACGUAUUAGGCUGCGAUAAGCCUCGGGGAGCUGCCAAAGAGCUUUGAUCCGAGGAUUUUCCGAAUGGGGCAACCCAGCAUAUAGAGAUAUAUGUUACCCUACGGGGAGCGAACCUGGUGAAGUGAAACAUCUCAGUAGCCAGAGGAAGAGAAAUCAAAUGAGAUUCCCAUAGUAGCGGCGAGCGAACUGGGAUUAGGACAAACCCAAUGCUUGCAUUGGGGGUUGUAGGACUAUAAUGUGUAAUUAAAAGAGAAUAGAUGAAUUAGUUGGAAAACUAGAGCAUAGAAGGUGAUACUCCUGUAAUUAAAAUUCUCAAUAAUACUAAUAGUAUCCUGAGUAGGUCGGAACACGUGAUAUUUUGACUGAAGCUGGGGGACCACCCUCAAUCCUAAAUACUACUUACAGAUCGAUAGUGAACAAGUACCGUGAGGGAAAAGGUGAAAAGUAACUGCAGCGAG